rnacentral:rRNA from 1 species
CCUACGGGCGGCAGCAGUAGGGAAUUUUCCACAAUGGGCGCAAGCCUGAUGGAGCAACACCGCGUGAGUGAAGAAGGGUUUCGGCUCGUAAAGCUCUGUUGUUGGAGAAGAACGUGCGUGAGAGUAACUGUUCACGCAGUGACGGUAUCCAACCAGAAAGUCACGGCUAACUACGUGCCAGCAGCCGCGGUAAUACGUAGGUGGCAAGCGUUAUCCGGAUUUAUUGGGCGUAAAGCGAGCGCAGGCGGUUGCUUAGGUCUGAUGUGAAAGCCUUCGGCUUAACCGAAGAAGUGCAUCGGAAACCGGGCAACUUGAGUGCAGAAGAGGACAGUGGAACUCCAUGUGUAGCGGUGGAAUGCGUAGAUAUAUGGAAGAACACCAGUGGCGAAGGCGGCUGUCUGGUCUGCAACUGACGCUGAGGCUCGAAAGCAUGGGUAGCGAACAGGAUUAGAUACCCGGGUAGUC